GUUAUCUAAGAAAUGAGUGGUCACCUUCAUCUACCACCUUUGCAUGUCAAAAAAUGGAAGGUAUAUUUGAGAAUUUUGAGUUUGGUCUUAACGUGUCUUUGUGAAAGACAUUGUUAACCUGUCCUUUGUUAAGUUGUGCUUAUUCAACUUAAUGGGAUAACAAUAUGUGAUUGUCAAGAGGGAAUUCUUAAAGCAAAAGAAAAAUGUAAUAGGUAAAGAAAUUUAUCUAACAUAUAAAUCAUUGUAAAUGUAAAACUAUUUAGAUUAGUAACAGAAAUUUCAUGCACAUAUAUAUGCAUAUACAUGUAAUGGAAUAUUGUCAGAAAAAAGUUAUGUGAAAAAAUAAUUUUUCAUUGCCAAACUACUUUUGCAUG
rnacentral:lncRNA from 1 species